AUACAGAGGGAGCAAGCGUUGUUCGGAUUUACUGGGCGUAAAGGGCGCGCAGGCGGGUGAAUAAGUCGAACGUGAAAAUUGCAGGCUCAACCUGCAACCUGCGUCCGAUACUGUUCGCCUUGAGUACAGGAGAGGUGGGUGGAAUCUGCAGUGUAGCGGUGAAAUGCGUAGAUAUUGUAGAGAACACCGGUGGCGAAGGCGGCUCACUGGCCUGAUACUGACGCUGAGGCGCGAAAGCUAGGGGAGCGAACAGGAUUAGAUACCCCGGUAGUCC
rnacentral:rRNA from 1 species